AGGUACCACAUCAAAUCAUGGCCCAUCCUAAAGUCUAGUGCCACUGAAAUUUACAGCCACAGAACUGAAUUAAUCAAGAGGAACAACAACAACAAGAGUUCUCUUCCAAAAUGAUAGCUUUUUUGUAGCUCUGAAAUGAGAGGAACCCAAUCCAGAAGAAUCCACAGAAGGAGGAAAAGCCAGCAGAAAGGCAGCAGAUUAGACACAAAAUUGUAAUUGUUAGUACGCAACUGAUAAAUACAAAAGGGCGAAGAGAAUGUCAAUCCAGAAUGAUGCAAAUCCCUUCAUUAUUACUCUCGUUAAAGGACUGCUAAUGAUCAGCAAAUAGCCAAAGGCAGAGGAGUCAAUCCAAGAUCUCUUCGGUUCUUUCCUAAUCAGGUUCAUCUACGUUGCUGCAAACAACAGAAUCUCACUUUUUUAUGGAUGAAUAGUACUUCAUUGUAUGAUUUCAUGAAGAUUAAUUAGAUACGUCCAUAAAAACAGGACUUGGACUUAAAGUAUAAUAACAACAACAACAGGACUUGGAACAUAAUCUUCAGCAUGAUAUAAUGACAUGUUAUAAUUACGGAAGUGUUAAGGUACGGCUGGGCUGGCUCGUUGAGUGACUCCUAAUAUGCAGUUUAGCAAGUGUUAGAAAGACAGGGUUUCUCAGUUCUACAGAAAGUGGUCAGAAGGCUGACACAGUAACCUUUUGGGUAAGCUUUUGAACACUGGUGUACAACUUCUCUGAAAGCAGGGCGUUUGGUCCUCUGCCUUUCAGGAAUGUUCAUUUUCUAUGUCACUACUUGGCAGUCAUCUUCUUUAUGCAGCUAAACCGGGGACGGCCAACAUGCUAUGUAUCAGAUGGUAGGAAAGAAGUAUUCGGUCUUUGACCUUGAGGAAUCCUGUGGCAGGUGAAGAGAGAAAAACUGGAUGGCUCUGAAAGCUCAGUUCCAUCUUCUUAUAGAAGCUUAGCAAGAAUCCAGCUCAGUAGGUCUGAGUUAGCAUAAAAAAAGAACACAUGGUAUCUGGCUCAUUCUAGCAGUGGUGGCUAAGCUGGCCCCUUUUCUGGUCAGAAAGCUCUCCCUCAGUGGUACAGGAACUGAUCCUUCUGGAGCAUUAGGGUCCACUCCUUGGAUGGCUUGAGGAGGGAGGCCACACCUCAAUGAGUCUUCUGCUUGUGCAAUUCCCCCCAAGUCUUACUUCACAUGUAUACUGCAUGGCACCAUGGGAUGUGGGCCUGCCCUCCUUGACUCAACAAGCUGAAUUCGCUCACCAAAGAGAUAUCCUGGCAGUGCAAGCACACUAACCUUAAUUACUUAUAAACACAGACUAGAAGAAAGUCAGAAUCAAAGUCAAGUGGAAUUCAAAAUGUAGGCAUGACAAUAAAACAGCCCUGGAUUCUGAGGUCCAACAGGUGACAACAGGAAUGGCCCAAAAGUAUUUGUUUGGAGUUCAUCUCUACAUAUAAUUUGAUUUUCUGAAAAUCACUUUCUCCUGGAUUAGGCUGCAAUGAAAAUACCAAGGCAUGUGACAAGGACAGUGGCUACCCGAAUGGGCUUCUCAAAGGUGUGAAGUAACGAACUGAAUAACGCAAGUCCGAAAAUACCACUUAGGUCUCUAGAAAGUUGCAGUUUUAAGUAUUUUUAGUCCUGCAUUGCCCAGAUAAUUAGCCUUCUACCCAUUCUACGUGUUACAUAUGUAAGAAAACAAGCUCUUACGAUAGAGACCAUAAAUCUUGGGGGACAAGAUAAAGAAUAUGCUGAUUUCCACAUUUUCGUAAUGGUCUGCCUAGGGAAAUUUUCCCAAAUUAAUGAGUAUGUUCAUGGGCAAUAAAUUAAAUAAGACCA